rnacentral:lncRNA from 1 species
UCAAUUUGACUCUGAUUUGAGUGAAUUAGGCAACCAGCUCCUAUUCCAGUGUGAACGCGACUUAAAGAUCAAAGAUCAAGAAGCAACCUUUCCAAUCAAGGGGUCCAGAUUAAAAGAUAAAUAGAACCAAGUGUAAAUAUGACUUAAAAAUCAAGGACUAAGAAGCAAAUCCUUUUGAUCCAAGGGCUAUCAAGGCAUCUCACCACACGAAACCCUAGAAGAGGAGGCGCCACAUUCCA